AACGAACGCUGGCGGCGUGCUUAACACAUGCAAGUCGAGCGAGAAAGGUUCCUUCGGGAACUGAGUAAAGCGGCGGACGGGUGAGUAACACGUGAGUAACGUGCCCUUCAGUGGGGGAUAACAGUUCGAAAGGACUGCUAAUACCGCAUGAGACCACAGGGACUUCGGUUCUAGGGGUCAAAGUCUUCGGACGCUGAAGGAUCGGCUCGCGGUCCAUUAGGUAGUUGGUGAGGUAACGGCUCACCAAGCCUCAGAUGGAUAGCUGGUCUGAGAGGAUGAUCAGCCACACUGGGACUGAGACACGGCCCAGACUCCUACGGGAGGCAGCAGUGGGGAAUCUUGCGCAAUGGA
rnacentral:rRNA from 1 species